rnacentral:misc_RNA from 1 species
GAUGAAGAACGUAGCGAAAUGCGAUACUUGGUGUGAAUUGCAGAAUCCCGUGAACCAUCGAGUCUUUGAACGCAAGUUGCGCCCGAAGCCACUAGGCCGAGGGCACGCCUGCCUGGGCGUCACACGUCGUUGCCCCCCCCCCCAUCUACUCCUUCGGGAUUGCGGGGGGCGGAUGAUGGCCUCCCGUGCGCCAAGCCGCGCGGUUGGCAUAAAUACCAAGUCCUCGGCGACGCACGCCACGACAAUCGGUGGUUGCGAAACCUCGGUUGCCCGUCGUGUGCGUUCGUCGCGCAUCGAGGGCUCGAAAAAAUGCUCGGCUCCGGCUCGGCUUUCAACGCGACCCCAGGUCAGGCGGGGUUACCCGCUGAAUUUAAGCAUAUCGAUAAGCGGAGGA